rnacentral:rRNA from 1 species
UACGUAGGUGGCGAGCGUUAUCCGGAAUUAUUGGGCGUAAAGAGCGCGCAGGUGGUUGAUUAAGUCUGAUGUGAAAGCCCACGGCUUAACCGUGGAGGGUCAUUGGAAACUGGUCGACUUGAGUGCAGAAGAGGGAAGUGGAAUUCCAUGUGUAGCGGUGAAAUGCGUAGAGAUAUGGAGGAACACCUGUGGCGAAGGCGGCCAGCUGGGAUACACCUGACGCUGAGGCACGAAGGCGUGGGGAGCGAACGGGAUUAGAUACCCGU